GGUAUUUUAGUUCUUCACGAUGGGCUUCGAUCAGAUCUUUGUCCGCCUGUGUUAGCGGUUCCUCAGAAUGCAUGAUCUCGAUAGCCUGCUCGAGAUUGGGACUGAGCCGGGUUGGCUGGAGAAACAGUGGGUAGUCACUCAUCGGUAAAAAUUGGUCAAGGAGCACAAAGGUGAUUUCGUACCUGAUUGACGGAGGAAGAAGAAGACAUCUUGGCGUCCGGUUGAGAUCUGAAAGCGUUUAAGCAGAGGAUGGAGAUAUGGACGUAAUGCGAGUGCCUCUGAAGAGACAUGGAGAUCUCGUAUUUAUAGGAGGAAACGAUGAGGGGCAACGGUUAGUAAAAGCGUCCAUUCAAAGCAACUGACCGUUGGGCUAAAAAGCUGCAAAGGGGAGCCAUUCAAGUUUGUAUUCACACAGCGAUAACAAAAGGGCAUUAAAUGUUUUUUUUACAAAAGUGUUCAAAGGACAUUCAAUAUUUGAUACAUUCACCCAAGGAGGAUAUUAAUGGCCGCAAUCGCCCGCUGGCGGAUCUGGUCUGCUGAGUCUAAUACUCGCUGGUCGUCGUCGGCCGAUCUGGGAACCUCUGGCAUGUUGCGAUGGAGUCGGAUGGCCUCGUGGGCAAGAGUUUGCCUCUCCUGCUUCAAAUUGGUGAUGGUGGCUAGGAGAUCAUGAAGUUUCUUUUCUUCAGCAGUGGUGGCUUUCACGACCUGCUCCAUUUCCUUGGCGAGUUCUGCCCUACGCCGUUUGAGACGGUCUAUGGCGCCGACGAUGCUUGGGCGAGA
rnacentral:lncRNA from 1 species